UACACGCUGUGACUAGCAUAUCAAUAAGCGGAGGAAAAGAAACUAACAAGGAUUCCCUCAGUAACGGCGAGUGAAGCGGGAAGAGCUCAAAUUUGAAAUCUUGAAAGGUCACCUUUCACGAAUUGUAGUUUAAAGAAGUGUUUUCUGUUACGAUCGUAAUAUAAGUUCUUUGGAAUAGGACAUCACAGAGGGUGAGAAUCCCGUCUAUGAUUGCGAUUUGUAGCUUUGUGAUACACUUUCAAAGAGUCGGGUUGUUUGGGAAUGCAGCCCAAAACGGGAGGUAAAUUUCUUCUAAGGCUAAAUAUUGGCGAGAGACCGAUAGCGAACAAGUACCGUGAGGGAAAGAUGAAAAGAACUUUGAAAAGAGAGUUAAAUAGUACGUGAAAUUGUCAAAAGGGAAGCGUUUAACACCAGUGUUGUUUUCUGAAAAUCAACCUCUGUUAGCUUUAUGCAUGUUUGUUUAGACCUAAUCAGCUAUCUUGCAUGUUCUAUUGUUUGCAGUGGUGCACUUUUCAGUUUACAGGUCAACAUCAGUUUUUUUACCGUAAAAAAGUUAAAGAAAGGUAGCUCAUGGCUCCGGUCGUGAGUGUUAUAGUCUUUUUCCUAUGCGGUAGGAGAGACUGAGGUCUGCAGUGUAGGCUAUUUGGCUAGAUACUCAGGUGCUAUGUGAUACCAUUUCAUAAACAACUUGUUGAUUAUGUUUUGUCUAUUGCAUACUCGCUUGUACUAUCAUACCUACGCUUAGGAUGUUGAACUACUGAGACAUAGA
rnacentral:rRNA from 1 species